rnacentral:rRNA from 1 species
UGGGGAAUAUUGGACAAUGGGCGAAAGCCUGAUCCAGCCAUGCCGCGUGUGUGAAGAAGGUCUUCGGAUUGUAAAGCACUUUAAGUUGGGAGGAAGGGCAGUAAGCGAAUACCUUGCUGUUUUGACGUUACCGACAGAAUAAGCACCGGCUAACUCUGUGCCAGCAGCCGCGGUAAUACAGAGGGUGCAAGCGUUAAUCGGAAUUACUGGGCGUAAAGCGUGCGUAGGCGGCUAAUUGAGUCGGAUGUGAAAUCCCCGAGCUUAACUUGGGAAUUGCAUUCGAUACUGGUUAGCUAGAGUGUGGGAGAGGAUGGUAGAAUUCCAGGUGUAGCGGUGAAAUGCGUAGAGAUCUGGAGGAAUACCGAUGGCGAAGGCGACCACCUGGGCUCAUACUGACACUGAGGUGCGAAAGCGUGGGGAGCAAACAGG